ACGAAGGACCCGAGCGUUAUCCGGAUUUAUUGGGUUUAAAGGGUGCGUAGGCGGAUUAGUAAGUCAGUGGUGAAAGCCCGUCGCUCAACGGCGGAACUGCCAUUGAUACUGCUAGUCUUGAGUAUGGUUGAGGUGGGCGGAAUGUGUCAUGUAGCGGUGAAAUGCUUAGAUAUGACCCAGAACACCAAUUGCGAAGGCAGCUCGCUAAGCCAUAACUGACGCUGAUGCACGAAAGCGUGGGGAGCAAACAGGAUUAGAUACCCUGGUAGUCCACGCCCUAAACUAUGAUCACUCGUUGUUGGCGAUACACAGUCAGCGACUAAGGGAAACCAUUAAGUGAUCCACCUGGGGAGUACGACCGCAAGGUUG
rnacentral:rRNA from 1 species